rnacentral:rRNA from 1 species
UGCCAGCCUCCGCCGUACUACUGAUUGUGCAAUCAUUAAUCGGAUUUACUGGGCGUAAAGGGUGCGUAGGCGGACAGGCAAGUCAGGUGUGAAAUUCCGGUACUCAAUAUCGGAGCUGCACUUGAAACUACCUGUCUAGAGGAUAGGCGGAGAGAACGGAAUUCCGUAUGCAGCGGUGGAAUGCGUAGAUAUACGGAAGAACACCUGUGGCGAAAGCGGUUCUCUAGCUUAUUUCUGACGCUGAGGCACGAGAGCGUGGGGAGCGAACAGGAUUAGAUA